GACGAACGCUGGCGGCGUGCUUAACACAUGCAAGUCGAACGGAAAGGCCCUGCUUUUGUGGGGUGCUCGAGUGGCGAACGGGUGAGUAACACGUGAGUAACCUGCCCUUGACUUUGGGAUAACUUUAGGAAACUGGGGCUAAUACCGGAUAGGAGCUCCUGCUGCAUGGUGGGGGUUGGAAAGUUUCGGCGGUUGGGGAUGGACUCGCGGCUUAUCAGCUUGUUGGUGGGGUAGUGGCUUACCAAGGCUUUGACGGGUAGCCGGCCUGAGAGGGUGACCGGCGACAUUGGGACUGAGAGACGGCCCAGACUCCUACGGGAGGCAGCAGUGGGGAAUAUUGCACAAUGGGCGGAAGCCUGAUGCAGCAACGCCGCGUGCGUGAUGACGGCCUUCGGGUUGUAAACCGCUUUCGCCUGUGACGAAGCGUGAGUGACGGUAAUGGGUAAAGAAGCACCGGCUAACUACGUG
rnacentral:rRNA from 1 species